rnacentral:lncRNA from 1 species
UAUAAUCUGGAUCCUUGUGAUUUAUUGAGUUGAGUGAUGCAUUUCAAUUGCUGGAUGUAUCGAUUCUAUAUAUAAUGUAUGUGAAUUGUACUGACUUGCAGGUGGAAUCUGAGGCCAAGGUAAGUCAUUUGCCCUGUGCGUGUUUAGGCAGCCUAUAGUAUAAUGGUUUACUAAUCGGGCCUUAGUGGGGUAGAACUCGCUGAGACGUAGUCUCAUCCCAGUUUGGGGAAAACAUUUCAGGACUCCGUUGAGGAACUGAGGAGAAGGAGUCUGAGAAGGAGAACUGGAAGGCGAACUUGAGGAAAAGGAUUUUUGGAAGAAGAAGAUAAUUCCGAAGGGGGUCUUGAGUACGACCCGGAUGGAUUGAGAUUCCAUCUUCUUUUGUGAACUUCAAUUGAUGUGAAUAGAGUUAAGAGUAAAAAGUUGUGAAGUGCUCUGUUUGUGUUUUGUAUAAAA